GACGAACGCUGGCGGCGUGCUUAACACAUGCAAGUCGAACGAUGAACCACUUCGGUGGGGAUUAGUGGCGAACGGGUGAGUAACACGUGGGCAAUCUGCCCUUCACUCCGGGACAAGCCCUGGAAACGGGGGUCUAAUACCGGAUAACACUGUCACGGGCAUCUGUGGUGGUUAAAAGCUCCGGCGGUGAAGGAUGAGCCCGCGGCCUAUCAGCUUGUUGGUGAGGUAAUGGCUCACCAAGGCGACGACGGGUAGCCGGCCUGAGAGGGCGACCGGCCACACUGGGACUGAGACACGGCCCAGACUCCUACGGAGGCAGCAGUGGGGAAUAUUGCACAAUGGGCGAAAGCCUGAUGCAGCGAUGCCGCGUGA
rnacentral:rRNA from 1 species